rnacentral:rRNA from 1 species
UACAGAGGGUGCGAGCGUUAAUCGGAAUUACUGGGCGUAAAGAGCGCGCAGGCGGUCGUUCAAGUCGAGUGUGAAAGCCCCCGGCUCAACUGGGGAGGGUCACUCGAUACUGAUCGACUCGAAGGCAGGAGAGGGUAGUGGAAUUCCCGGUGUAGAGGUGAAAUUCGUAGAUAUUCGCAAGAACACCAGUGGCGAAGGCGGCUCACUGGCCCGGUACUGACGCUGAGGUGCGAAAGCGUGGGGAGC